GCCGGGGUGGUGAAAUUGGUAGACACGCGAGACUCAAAAUCUCGUGCAGGCAACUGCGUGUGGGUUCAAGUCCCACCCCCGGCACCA
rnacentral:tRNA from 1 species